GACGAACGCUGGCGGCGUGCUUAACACAUGCAAGUCGAGCGGUAAGGCCCUUUCGGGGGUACACGAGCGGCGAACGGGUGAGUAACACGUGGGUGACCUGCCCUUAGCUCUGGGAUAAGCCUGGGGAACUGGGUCUAAUACCGGAUAUGACUCCAUGACGCAUGUUGUGGGGUGGAAAGCCUUGUGCGGCUAGGGAUGGGGCCCGCGGCCUAUCAGCUUGUUGGUGGGGUGAUGGCCUACCAAGGCGACGACGGGUAGCCGGCCUGAGAGGGCGACCGGCCACACUGGGACUGAGACACGGCCCAGACUCCUACGGGAGGCAGCAGUGGGGAAUCUUGCGCAAUGGGCGAAAGCCUGACGCAGCGACGCCGCGU
rnacentral:rRNA from 1 species